rnacentral:rRNA from 1 species
AUUGAACGCUGGCGGCAGGCCUAACACAUGCAAGUCGAACGAGUGGCGGACGGGUGAGUAAUGUCUGGGAAACUGCCCGAUGGAGGGGGAUAACUACUGGAAACGGUAGCUAAUACCGCAUACCAUCAGAUGUGCCCAGAUGGGAUUAGCUAGUAGGUGGGGUAACUGAUCACCUAGGCGACGAUCCAUAGCUGGUCUGAGUGGAUGACCAGCCACACUGGAACUGAUACACGGUCCAGACUCCGACGUGAGGCAGCAGUGGGGAAUAUUGCACAAGGGGCGCAAGCCUGAUGCAGCCAUGCCGCGCGUAUGAAGAAGGCCUUCGGGUUGGAAAGUACUUUCAGCGGGGAGGCGUUACCCGCAGAAGAAGCACCGGCUAACUCCGUGCCAGCAGCCGCGGUAAUAC